rnacentral:rRNA from 1 species
GUAGUCAUAUGCUUGUCUCAAAGCUUAAGCCAUGCAAGUCUCAGUACGAGCUGACUUAAAGUGAAACCGCAAAAGGCUCAGUAAACCGGUCAUAGUUUACCGGACAUAUACCACUUACGUGGAUAACUGUGGUAAUUCUAGAGCUAAUACAUGCAAACAAGUCCCGACCAGCGAUGGAGAGGACGCUUUUAUUUGAACAAAACCAUUCGCCCGGCUUGCCCGGGCGUCGGCUUGACGAUUCUAGAUAACACCACAGAUCGCACGGUCAAAGUACCGGUGACGUAUCCUUCAAAUGUCUGACUUAUCAGCUGUCGAUGGUAGACU